CCUACGGGAGGCAGCAGUGGGGAAUUUUGGACAAUGGGCGCAAGCCUGAUCCAGCAAUGCCGCGUGAGUGAAGAAGGCCUUCGGGUUGUAAAGCUCUUUUGUCAGGGAAGAAACGGCUGAGGCUAAUACCUUCGGCUAAUGACGGUACCUGAAGAAUAAGCACCGGCUAACUACGUGCCAGCAGCCGCGGUAAUACGUAGGGUGCAAGCGUUAAUCGGAAUUACUGGGCGUAAAGCGUGCGCAGGCGGUUUUGUAAGUCUGACGUGAAAUCCCCGGGCUCAACCUGGGAAUUGCGUUGGAGACUGCAAGGCUGGAGUCUGGCAGAGGGGGGUAGAAUUCCACGUGUAGCAGUGAAAUGCGUAGAGAUGUGGAGGAACACCGAUGGCGAAGGCAGCCCCCUGGGUCAAGACUGACGCUCAUGCACGAAAGCGUGGGGAGCAAACAGGAUUAGAUACCCUGGUAGUCCACGCCCUAAACGAUGUCUACUAGUUGUCGGGUCUUAAUUGACUUGGUAACGCAGCUAACGCGUGAAGUAGACCGCCUGGGGAGUACGGUCGCAAGAUUAAAACNCAAAGGAAUUGACGG
rnacentral:rRNA from 1 species